GGUUUUAUGGAGACAGGCGUGGAGACAGGCGUUGGUCUUGUAAACCAAAGAUCAUGGGUUCAAUUCCCAUCCAUACCU
rnacentral:tRNA from 1 species